rnacentral:rRNA from 1 species
AAUAUUGGAGAAUGGGGGCAACCCUGAUUGAGCCAUGCCGCGUGUGUGAAGAAGGUCUUCGGACUGUAAAGCACUUGAGGUUGGGAGGAAGGGCUUUAGGCUAAUACCCUGAAGUUUUGAGGUUACCAACAGAAUAAGCACCGGCUAACUCUGUGCCAGCAGCAGCGGUAAUACAGAGGGGGCAAGCGUUAAUCGGAAUUACAGUGCGUAAAGCGCGCGUAGGUGGUUCAGUAAGAUGGGUGUGAAAUCCCCGGGAUUAACCUGGGAACUGCUUUCAUAACUGCUGAGCUAGAAUACGGUAGAGGGUAGUGGAAUUCCCUGUGUAGCGGUGAAAUGCGUAGAUAUAGGAAGGAACGCCAGUGGCGAAGGCGACUACCUGGACUGAUACUGACACUGAGGUGCGAAAGCGUAGAGAGCAAACAG